rnacentral:rRNA from 1 species
CGGGUGAGUAACACGUGGGUGACCUGCCCUUAGCUCUGGGAUAAGCCUGGGAAACUGGGUCUAAUACCGGAUAUGACUCCAUGACGCAUGUUGUGGGGUGGGAAGCCUUGUGCGGCUAGGGAUGGGCCCGCGGCCUAUCAGCUUGUUGGUGGGGUGAUGGCCUACCAAGGCGACGACGGGUAGCCGGCCUGAGAGGGCGACCGGCCACACUGGGACUGAGACACGGCCCAG